AAUCAACAGGACCUCCUCAGGGCCUGGGUAACGGUGAGCAUAGACCACCACAUGGAGGACUGGCCCCAUGCUAGGGCUGGACACAGUAUGUAGGACACAGAGUUGGAUUCAGUAUGUCCACGGGUUCCUGGGUACCUGGAUCUUCACUUCCUUGCCAAAUCACUCAGUUUCACAAAGCAGAGUCAGCUGUAGCCCACAUCUGAGUAACCGACAUUUUCAUCCAGGCCUGGCAACAACGCGAGCGUGAAACUGAGUCAGUUGUUUUAUUCCACUUCCAAGCGGAGAGGGGCAGUGCCUCAUCCCGCGUGAAUGGAGUCAUUCAGGAAGACGCUCCUCCAGAGCGGUAUUCAGGCAGAGGUCAGGACUGCUCCUAAUUAGGCACAGGCUGACUCAGAAGGCUGGGACCUGACACAGUAGCCAGCUGCAGCAAGUGGGCUGUUCUUGGCUGUCUCACGAGGCUGGCCUUUUCCUCAGUCUCCUAGCACGCCGAUCUUUCCCUCUAGCCAACAAUCACAAUGAUAUACAAUGACCGAUUUAAUUGUAGCAAAUCGGCUCUUGCUAUCACGAACAACUUCCUCCCACUCCCAAGCAUCGAUGGUGGGCUCCAGUUGCUGAUGGGCCUGUCUUUUGCUGAAGACAGCAUCUGCCAGCCUGCGAAGUUGGCGGGAGACUCAGAGUAAAGCUGCAUUUCUCACCAAGAUGGGUGUGGGAGCAGAGGUCUGUCUGCUGGCCACCAAUCCAUGAGGACAAAAGGGUAGAAGCAGCGACAGAGAGCUUUGUACGGCCUGAAGAAAGUCAUUGGUAUUUUGAUGGUGAUUGCAUGGACUCUGUAAAACGCUGGAGAUGUUGCUUCCUUCUAAGUCUUGAAGAAGGCUCAGAAUGCUGCUUGCCUGCCGCCACUGCCUGGGCUCUGCUCCCAUUCUGACCCAUGGUCCUUCUGUUUGUGGCUGAGGUCUGUGCAUGUCAUAAAUAGUC